GUGGAGACUGUUGCUGUGCCAUCUGCCAUCGACUUUUCCGCCAAGAGCCUGGACUCCAAAUAUGACUUAUGUUCCAGCAGAACUCCAGGUAUUAAAAUAACCCCUACAACAGCCAACUUUCCCUUUUGCAGUUGCAAACCAGCUGCCGCUUAUUUCUUUGGUGAAGCACUUGAGCCAUGUGCGUGAACCAAACCCAGUUCAUUCAAGACA
rnacentral:lncRNA from 1 species